AGUCGAACGGGGUAGCAAUACCUAGUGGCGGACGGGUGAGUAACGCGUAAGAAUCUACCUACAGGACGGGGACAACGAGUGGAAACGCUCGCUAAAACCCGAUGUGCCGGGAGGUGAAAUAUUAAUAGCCUGUAGACGAGCUUGCGUCUGAUUAGCUAGUUGGAGUGGUAAGAGCACACCACGGCGACGAUCAUUAACUGGUCUGAGAGGAUGACCAAUCACACUGGAACUGAGGACGGUCCACACUCCUAGGGGAGGCAGCGGUGGGGAAUUUUCCGCAAUGGGCGCAAGCCUGACGGAGCGAUACCGCGUGAGGGAUGAAGGUUCCUGGAUUGUAAACCUCUUUUUUCGGGGACUAUCAUGACGGUGCCCGAAGAAUAAGCAUCGGCUAACUCCGUGCCGGCAGCCGCGGUAAAACGGACGAUGCAAGCGUUACCCGGAAUUAUUGGGCGUAAAGCGUACGCUGGUGGCACACCAAGUCCUUUGUUAAAGCGCGAGGCUUAACCUCGUAAAGGCAGAAGACACUGGUGAGCUAGAGUAUGGUAGGGGCAGGAGGAAUUCCCAGUGUAGCGGUGAAAUGCGUAGAUAUUGGGAAGAACACCAGCGGCGAAAGCGUCCUGCCAAGCCAAAACUGACACUCAUGUACGAAAGCUAGGGGAGCGAAUGGGAUUAGAUACCCCAGUAGUCCUAGCCGUAAACGAUGGGUACUAGGUGUUGGGAGUAUCGACCCUCUCAGUGCCGUAGCUAACGCGUUAAGUACCCCGCCUGGGGAGUACGGUCGCAAGAUUGAAACUCAAAGGAAUUGACGGGGGCCCGCACAAGCGGUGGAGUAUGUGGUUUAAUUCGAUGCAACGGGAAGAACCUUACCAAGACUUGACAUCCUAUGAAUCCCCUUGAAAGGGGGGAGUGCCUUUUGGAGCAUAGAGACCGGUGGUGCAUGGCAGUCGUCAGCUUGUGUCGUCAGAUGUUGGGUUAAGUCCCGCAACGAGCGCAACCCUCAUUUUUAGUCGCCAUCAUUAAGUUGGCCACUCUAGAGAGACCGCCGGUGACAAACCGGAGGAAGGUGGGGAUGACGUCAAGUCAGCAUGCCCCCUACGUCUUGGGCUACCCACGUACUACAAUGGCCGGGACAGAGAGUUGCCAAACUGCGAAGUCGAGCCAAUCUCAUAAACCCGGUCUUAGUUCAGAUCGCAGGCUGCAACUCGCUUGCCUGAAGGCGGAAUCGUUAGUAAUCGCAGAUCAGAAUGGUGCGGCGACUACGUUCCCGGGCCUUGUACACACCGCCCGUCACACCAUGGAAGCUGGUCACGCCCGAAGUCGUUAUUCUAACCGCAAGGGAGAAGGCGCCUAAGG
rnacentral:rRNA from 1 species